GGGCAUGUAGCUCAGUUGGUAGAGCGUCGGUGUGAAGUACCGAGUGCGAGGGUUCGAUUCCCUACUUGCCCACAU
rnacentral:tRNA from 1 species